rnacentral:misc_RNA from 1 species
CUGUUGCGCGCAACGGCUGCGCUUAAAACCCCACCCCACCGCGCCAAGAAACCACAGACACACACACUCGAGGAUGCACUGCGUUGGUUGGAAAAGCACCUGAGCGGCCACCGAUGUGUGUGCGUGCGCCUCGCAGCGAGCGAGUGGGCGCACCAUUCUGACGGCCUGUGCGCGCUCCUCUCCUUUGUCUGAUUGUCUUGUCGUCCCUCCUACCCCCAUGACGACGUGUUCUUUCUUUGUCUUUUGAUUCGCUUACAUUGUCAGCGCCUCCUCCCUCUCCUCCUGCGUAGAUCUUGGCUCGCCCUCCAGAUGUGUUAGUCGUGGGAGCUGGACGCAGCGUUGGUGUGCGUACAUUUCCUCUCGUUCUCUCGGAGUGUGCUGAGAGAGGUCGAUGUGCGCGGUGUGACGCUUUUUGUUGUUGUGAUGCUUCUUUUCUCCAUUUGUUUUUAUGGUAGAGUGGCGUCGUUCGUUUUUUCCCGUUCCUGUUUUAAGGCCUUCCUCCCUUGGCUGCAUCUCGCCUUCCUUUUAACCUUUUUUCUUCUCUUGUGUAUACCCCCCCCCCAGGGAGGGAGGGCAAAUCAUCUUCUCAUGCAUAUACAUGAGCCUCGGAGGACGGCGCGGUGCGGCGGAGGGGGUGAGAGGAAAGCGUGACCUGCGCUCGAAUUCAUUUUUUUGUUUUACUUUUUGAUCUCUGCGUGUCUAUUCCGUCAUAGAGCAUGCGCCUCACUACACUCCUCCUCCCUGGCCUGCCAGAAGCCCUAUGGCAUCGUGAGAAGCAGCUGGAGACCCACGUCUUACAGCAAUCCGCUGACUCAGCCAUCUGAGCAAGGCCUCGAUAUCAAACUAAACCCACAACCCCCUACGCAGGCUACCUCACAGCAUCUUCCAUCAUGCCGGCCGUCAUGUGGCGCAUCCUCCUCAGGGUGGCUUCGACUCUCCGCACCAACAGGCAGUGUGAGGGCCUGGCUUGAGAUGCGUUCGAGUCACGCGGGCAGUGCGCCGAAUCAUAGGGAUGUCACCGAUGUGUUCGUUGUCGCAGGUGGCACUCCGACGCGACGCCAAUCCAGAACAUGACCGCCGACACAUCAGCAGCGAUACAUACGCACUGAACUUCUCCGUACGUCCUAGGGACUCGGCCCCGUCACCACCAGAAGCGGCUCGGCAUUUGGCAGGGAUAGGGAGAGAGGGAGGAGGGGAGCUGCUCGGCUUCCUCACACGCAGAGUUCGGGGGUGCACCGGGCCCUGACGAUGCCACGCACUGAGCUGUACCGCUUCUUUAGGCGGAUCGAGUUCACAAAAAAUAGCAUGUCUUUUCGGUGCUUCUCACUGCCCGUCUGCGUACGCAUCAAAAUUGAAACUCAGGUGCACGGACUUCAGGUGGCCUUGGUAUGUGCUGAGUGUACGCGAAGGAAAGAAUAAGGAAACAGUGUUGUGCGUGCGCGUUCUACCAGGACAUCCCCAAUCUUUUCGUGUGCCAGGCAGCCUUUUUUCGUCCUUCUUCACUCUCAUUGAUCUGCAUGAUGGACGCUCGCGGAUGGGUUGCUUAUCAUGUGAUCAGCGGGACGAUGUCAUCUGGCGUGUGUGUGCUGCAGGCCGAGCGAGGGAACGCAGAAAACAGAUUUGAAGCAAGGGCUGAGAGGUAAAUCAGAGUAGGAAAGGCGGUAGAGAAAGCAGCACUCGCAAAGCAGGAAUCAACGGCUGCACUCCCUCUCUGCCACUUGAUGUUGCCGGAUGCGUGCGUUCGCAUGUGUCUACACGUCGCGGCUGAACCUCUCAGAGGUAGCCGAAAGCCGAAUAAAAAGCGCGACUCAAACGAAGAAAAAGAUUUCAUCGCUCUGUUUCAACGUUUCAUGUGUAUAUAUAUAUAUUUAUGUGUGUGUGUGUGGCACCCUUCUUUACUUUUAGCCUGUUUCACUCUUUCAGUCUGUUCGUAGCAACCGUCGCCGUGUUUCCUUCUGCUUCUCUCUGGAUGGACGCUUCUGCUUCCUCCCUUAUGACUUAUCGCUCGCUCUAUGAAUAUGGAUUUGCGUUUGUGUAUGUGCGCACGCGAGAAAAAAAAAGAAAGCACCGAGCCAUCGUAUGUCGAAGCCGAUCUGCCUUUCGACGUCUGCCCCUCCCCCCAUCCCGUUUUACGCUGAGCCCACUUCCGCGUAUAUCCCGAGCGCAGUCGUUUUCAUCCCUUUUUUCGCAUGUGCGCAUCCGUUGUCUACUUUUCGUGACGACUGUGGUCUCCUCCUUUUUUUUUCGUGUCUUUCCUUUCUCCCUUGCUGUUUUCGUUUGGCGAUGCUGUGCCCAUGCUCGAAAUGGGCGCCACGAUGCGCAUCUAUGUGUGGGUAUGCAUGUGCGUUGUUGAUGUUUUUUUUUUGUUUUCCUCUAUCAUAGGCGUAGAUCUAUGCGCAUGUCUGUAUAUAUGUGUGUGCGUGUACGUGGCUCACUUCCAUCUUUCUCACGCUCUCUUUCUCUGUUUGCUUUUCCACAACCGCCGUUUUUUUUUGUUCGGUUCUUUUUUCCUGUCGCGUGUGAGCGUUUCUUUUCAUUUUACCCCCGCUUUUUUUCUCAGCUUUCGCGCGUUUUGUUCGACGCCUUUUUUCACGGAGGUGCCGCGAGGAGGCAUAUUGGGCGGUAAGGAGGAGGCGAGUGACCCGUACGUGGGAGCUGUCGGUAGCACACGGUGAGUUUUCUGCCGACUGACUCAUCUCACCCUUUCGUCUCUCUUCCUCCAUCAUCUGGGCUUCUAAGCAGGGCCCCAUAGUACCAUCCCUACCCCCCUCCCCCAUGCGUCUUUCACCACCUCUUAUCGAGCGCAACAUCCUUUUCUUUUCCGCCCUCCCCCCGUAAAACGUUUUUUUUUGGUGGCCAUCAUCGUCUUUGAGGUACGCUACGCCCCCUUUGGCACCUCAAAAAGCACACACAAAAAAUUGUCUUGAGCCGCUUUCCAUUUCGUUUCGCUUGCCAUCUGUUCCAUUCCUUUCUUCCUUGCCUAGUUUUCUUGUGUACCUGCAAGGGUGUCCUCCCCUCGCCCCCUCCCUCACCCCUGUAUGCCCCUCUGUUCUUCUUGCAGGUGCUCGCGUUUGUGCCCGUGUGUUUGUUAUUCUCUACCUUUGCCUUCGUCUCCCUCCCUCGCUUCUUGGUCGUUUUUUCUUUGAUUUGCUGUUCUGCCGUUUGCGUGUAGUGCUGCGUAGAGAAUUUAAUAACGGACACGGUGCUGCUGCUGCUUGUCAAACAACACGGUUGUUUCAGUAAGCUGUGGGCUUCUAUGGCGUGUUUGUGUGUGCGUGUUUGUCUCCCUUCUCUUCUCUAGCGUUUUUCCUGCAGUGGCUGUGUCUCCUCUAUGGCGAACUCUACCCGUUUUCCUCUCCCUUCGUCGUCUGUGUACAUUCUCUUUUCUCUCAACUUUUGCUGUGUCGCUGCACUCUUGGGCCGAAUGCGUGUCUGUCCCCCCUCUCCCCCGUCCUCACUACUGCCGUUGUGCACGCGGAAGGGUCCCCCUCUUCCUCCCACACCCCGAUGAUGACUACGUUCGUGUGUGUGCGUGUAUGUUUAAUGUUUUCGGAUUGUGUUGGGUGGUGUUUCCUGUUUCUGUUCCCCUCCCCCUUCUUUUUUUUUGUUUCUCGACACAUGUUUGCUUGCGCAUGCAUCACAUUUCUGCACGGGUAGUGUGCCCCGUGUCUCGGCUUUCGUCGCUCUCACUAGUGGUCUUUUGGAGAGCAUGGUGGGGUGUAGAGGACUCUCACACACAGACACACAGGUGCACACGCCCACAUCCCGCUCUUCUUGUCCGAUAACGGAAAGAGGGAUAAGAAGAACCGAAGAGAGAGGCGCUGCGGCGGUGAGAGAAUUUGUUGGGAGUUUCUCUCGUGACGGUAAAAGACGGGGGAAAGGAGAAAGGGGAGAGGGGGUAGGCGCAGCAGACACACCACAACACAAGGGUGUGCUCCACCGCCCCGCAGACACUCUUCCCACCCCCUCCUGAGGCUUUUCCCACCGUCGCCCCAUCUUGUAUGUACGCAAGCUCUGUACGUCUGAAUGGAUUGGAGACGAUGCGUAUGAAAAAAAAGAAAACACACUUCGCUUUCUGGCAACA